rnacentral:rRNA from 1 species
GACGAACGCUGGCGGCGUGCUUAACACAUGCAAGUCGAACGGAAAGGCCCUGCUUUUGUGGGGUGCUCGAGUGGCGAACGGGUGAGUAACACGUGAGUAACCUGCCCUUGACUUUGGGAUAACUUCAGGAAACUGGGGCUAAUACCGGCUAGGAGCUCCUGCUGCAUGGUGGGGGUUGGAAAGUUUCGGCGGUUGGGGAUGGACUCGCGGCUUAUCAGCUUGUUGGUGGGGUAGUGGCUUACCAAGGCUUUGACGGGUAGCCGGCCUGGGAGGGUGACCGGCCACAUUGGGACUGCGAUACGGCCCAGACUCCUACGGGAGGCAGCAGUGGGGAAUAUUGCACAAUGGGCGGAAGCCUGAUGCAGCAACGCCGCGUGCGGGAUGACGGCCUUCGGGUUGUAAACCGCUUUCGCCUGUGACGAAGCGUGAGUGACGGUAAUGGGUAAAGAAGCACCGGCUAACUACGUG